rnacentral:rRNA from 1 species
UACGUAGGGGGCGAGCGUUGUCCGGAAUUAUUGGGCGUAAAGAGCGUGUAGGCGGUUCGGUAAGUCUGCCGUGAAAACCCAGGGCUCAACCCUGGGCGUGCGGUGGAUACUGCCGGGCUAGAGGGUGGUAGAGGCGAGUGGAAUUCCCGGUGUAGCGGUGAAAUGCGCAGAUAUCGGGAGGAACACCAGUAGCGAAGGCGGCUCGCUGGGCCAUACCUGACGCUGAGACGCGAAAGCGUGGGGAGCGAACAGG